rnacentral:lncRNA from 1 species
GAGAGAGAGAGAGAGAGAGAGAGAGAGAGAGAGAGAGAGAGAGAGAGAGAGAGAUUAAGGAAACCUAAGGGCUGGGCGGUGGUGACACACGUCUUUAAUCCCAGCACUUGGGAGGCAGGGAUAGGCGGAUCUCUGUGAGUUUGAGACCAGCCUGCUCUACAAGAGCUAGUUCUAGGACAGCCUCCAAAGCCAGAGAAAUCCUGUCUCAAACAACAAAACAAAACAAAACAGGAAACCUAAGAAGGGAAUAUGCGUGCUUUUGCUAUUUUCUUAAAUGUCACUAGGUAAUGGACCAAAGUAAAAAUAAGUACAAAGAGUUGAAGAUUGACUUUGAGGUUAGCUUGGGGCAGCACUUCCCUAUCAGCAGGCAGAGAGAAUCCAGGACACAAUUGUUCUCUAUCUCUCUGAGAGUUAUGGCUUGACAAGUCUAGGCAUGCCAUAAUUCUUGUGCUUGGGCAUCUGUGAAUGUCUCAAUAGAGGUCUCUUUUGCCUGGACACUGACCAGCUGUCUGACAAGCAAGAUAACUGCGAGGGGCAGACUUCUGAGUUUACUCAAAGAUCUGUUUGAGAGAGUGAGGGUAUUGAUUGUGAUUGCAUUCUUGCUGGAAUCACGAAUUGUUGUGGGGAGUCAUCCAAAUACACCAGUGCAUAGGGGAAAUUGUGUCCAGUAAACAAUUAACUCACUGUAGUGUUGUGGGAAAAAUCUCCAAUCUGUAAUCUAAGGGGAGAGCUCUUCGCACAAAUCUGCGAUGAGCACAGCUGGCACACUCAGUAUUCCUUAGUGGCUUGCAUAAAAGGUUAAUGAGAUGGGCAUCGAUGUAACAAUAUUCAUCUCCUUGCUAAAUGAGGCCUGUCCUUCAGGAGAUAAGCGAUCUCUGAAGUAUGUGCUGAACUCUCACUGUAUAAUUCUGCAGGUUUGUGGCAGUGAAUCUUAGACUUUUGACAUAAAAUGCUGUCUUAGCUGGACACACGUUUAUUUCAUUAAGCUCUGGACCCCAUUGUUUUCUCUUAUACUCUUACUGACCUGAGGUGUUUGUGCUUCUCAGUGUUAACAGUUCCUAGUCAGCGCACUGACCUUAACAACAGCAGCCAGCCAGGCUUGGCUACCCAUCCCCAAAAGACCAAGCAAAGAGACAAAUAGCAGUGAAAUGCAGUGGGAAGAACAAAUGAGGACCAGUGGCCCCCCCACCCCUCAAUCCAUCUUCCUGAGGGCAAUAACUAAGCAGUUUCCAUCACAAUGUGGUCCUGCCCAUCCCUGACCCAUCGAAGUCUAGGCUCCAUUUUCUCUAGCAAGGUUCUGAUGUUAUCAGGGCUGUGGAAUCUCUUCCUGGGAGACCAUCCCUCCUCUGGCUGGCACUAACUAUUCUGUAACAGGACUGAAGAUACAGUAAAUUGGAACACUUUGUUCUAUUGAUGUUUACAAAGUGGAGUCACAGAUUGGUUGAUAAAUGGUAGUUUACUGGGGGAAAACACUCACGCAAGGGAGCCAGUGACCAGGUUUGCACCUGAGCAGGAUGGACCCAGAAAUGCUUCCCAGUCAGCUCAGCCAGGUGAAAGAGAGCCUCGUGUGUGCCUCCAUCCGUCUUAAACCCUUGUUACAUAACUCUGACCACGCCCAAGUGCAUGUGGUCAGCGGUACCUCUAAUCAGGAUUUCUCCCUACAGUGUUCCUUAUUACGGUGAAUAACUAAUAUGUAGUCUGUUAAUGGUCAGGAUAUCUUUAAUAAGUAAAUGCCAACCAACAGGAGGAAACCAGAGCCAGCCAAAGCAGCAGAGAAAAGAGAGCUACCAUGUGCGUUCCCUAUUUCUUUAAACCUUUACCACUUCACCCUGACAUCACCUUGACCAAACCCUGUUGGGCAUGGUUGGGCACACCUGUAGCCAGCCCUUAGGAGGCGUGGUUAUGGUGUCUCCCUACAGUUCCUCUUCAGCUAUUAGACUAUUAAAACAAUGGUUUCCAGGGAACUGGAAUUUCUCCAAGGGAUCACAGUGAGAAAAGGGAAAGGGUUAAUGUCUAGCUCCCUGACCAAGAGGUUGUAUUGUUUCCCAAGCUCAGUGGUUCUCAACCAGGGGGUCGUGACCUGUUUGGGGGUUGCCCAAGAUGCUGUUUCAAAAAUCAAACCAAGCCAAACCAAAAUUUUUUAAGGGACCAGACCCUCACCCAGCCUGCUUUUGCAGCCAUGACAGGCUACAGAAAAGACCCAGCAAGAUGUAGGCCUCUGACUCAGCACAAGUUGCUGAGUUUCCAGCCUUCUGACCUUGCCAGACCUGCCCCAGUCACUAGGAGGUCAGAUACCCUCUGUGUGGCAAGGAAGCAAUCAGAAGUUAGUGGUCGGCUCUGGAUAUUCUUUAAGGUAACAGUGGCUACAGAGCAUAGCAAUCACCCUGGGAGGGCCUAUAGGCCAUAGCAACCUGUGGACCAAUCAACACAGGACAGGUUGCUCAAGCCAGGAAGUGCACCAAUCCUGAGACUAUUGCAUACCCCUAGACACUCCCCUUGCUCUACCCAAUAAAUUCUGGGUCCUUCUCACUCCACACGCUAUGUAACAUGGAUGGAGGAUGAGUCAAUACAGUUAAACUUGUUAAAAUUAAGAACUCUUGCUUUUGUCUCAGAAUGGGUCUCUUGGUGCUUUUGGGGUUCAGAAUUUGGGCACAACAAUGGGUUGUUGCCCAUUGGGUGUGGGUUCACUCAGGCCCAUGGAGAAGAGACUGAGAGGCACCUUAAGAAUGAAUCUAACUUUCCCAGCUGCAGGGUGGAUUCUCCUCUCAGGACUGAACCAAUGGCUUUCCCUUCAACAGGGCUCCUUUUAUCAUUCUCCAAUUUACACCUUAGCAAGCUGAUUUCCAUAUUCUCAAAAUAUCCUGCCAAAAGCUUAUAAUGGGACAAUGCCAAGUGCAAAUUCUAGAUUAAGGAGGUACCACAGUUUUCCAGGUUGCCCCCCAACCAAGUUUGUUUGUUUGUUUGUUUGUUUGUUUUGGUUUUUCCAGACAGGGUUUCUCUGUGGCUCUGGAGGCUGUCCUGGAACUGGCUCUGUAGACCAGGCUGGCCUCAAACUCACAGAGAUCCACCUGCCUCUGCCUCCUGAGUGCUGGGAUUAAAGGCGUGCACCACCAAUACCCAGCCCCAACCAAGUUUUGCUUAGGCUUUGUACCCUUGGGAAACACUCAGUCAAGAUUUACAGAGAGGGCAUCAAGAGAAACAAAAAGUAACUGCUAAACAAAAGAUGGAUUAGAGCUAGGUGCUAGCUGGAGCCAGCCCACCAGUGAGAAUUCUCCCUUCAAAGGGUUUAUUUUGGCUCACAGUUCAAGGGUACAGACCAUUACAGCAGGGGAGUCAUGGUGGCAAGAAUUUGGGGCAGCUGGUCACAUUGCAUCUGGUCAGGAAGCAGAGAGCACCCCCAAAAUUGUAACUAGGCAUAGCAGUACAUGAUUUAAUCGUAGCACUUAGGAGGUAGAGAUAGGCAGAUCUCCGGGUUUGAGGCCAGUCUUGUCUACACGUUGUUCUAGACCAGGCAGAGCUAUACAGUGAGAUCCUAACUGAGCAAUGUUUCCCAGGCUUUAAGAGACACACCACCGCAACUCCUUUUAAGAGCAGCUUCCUCAUUUGCAUAGUGGUCAAAACCUCAGCUGUUAGUGAGCACAUAAGACUCAUGUGAUUAGGAAAAGAUACAGAUUUACAUUAAAGAAAAAUAUACAUAGGUUUGGGAGAGAAAAUAAAAAAUGAGUAGCUGUGUAUACUGACACACACCUUUAAUCCCAGCACUCCAAAAGCAGGUGCAGGUGGGUUUCCACAGAGAAACCCUGUCUCAGGAAAAAAGAAAAAAAAGCAAGUAAAAGAAAUAGAAUAAGCCAGGCGUUGGUGGCACACACCUUUAAUCCCAGCACUCAGGAGGCAGAGGCUUGCGGAUCUCUGUGAGUUGGAGGCCAGCCUGGUCUCCACAGCGAGUACCAGGACAGGCUCCAAAGCUACACAGAGAAACCCUGUCUCCAAAAACCAAAAACCAAAAAAAAAAAAAAAAAAAAAAAAAGAAAUAGAAUAAUAAAAAGUAAAAAGCCAGGUAAAAAUGAAAAAUAGAGAGUCUGAUACUAUAUGUUAUACUGUUGUCUUUAAAUUGUUUGAUUGCCGUGGAAAGAGCUACAGCUGCUAAAAUACAUGUGAUUAUAGGUGCUGCUAAAUUAAUCCAACUUACAUAUUUUAAAAAUGCUGUGACUUUUAAAUUUAAAAAUAAGGACAGGUUACUUGGGAAAAGAGUUUCUGCUUAUGUUUCCACAGAAAAUGUAAAGCUAUGGAUUCCUUCCAGACUAAUAUGGUUUCAUGAAGACCCCUCAAACAGUGUCCCAGGUGAUCCAACAUCUAAAUCAGCUGAGAUGAUACAGCCUUACAGACUACAAAAACAAGGACCUGGCCAGGUUUCUGUGUUUUAUCAUGAUCCCCAUGGUAUGGACAUCGCCCCCAACCAGCAGGAAGCAGUUUGGAAUGAACAAUGCCCAAAUUCCCAAAUAUUGCUUAUAAAUAUUUGUAACAAUAAGUCUUUACUCCAUCUGCCCAAGCCCCUCUGCCAUGUGGGCACCCAGAAUAACAUACAGAGUCUUAUAUUAUUUACAAUGCUGCUGGCCAAUGACUAGGAUUUCUUAUAUGCUAGCUCAGUCUUAAUUAUCAUAAAUCUAUGUACUUUAUAAGACUUAUCUUAUCGAGGACAUCUUCCGCUGGUGUCCCCUCCCCGGGAUCACAUGGAGACUCUGUAGAGAAGAGAGCAGAAGGAAGAGGAAGAGGACGAUUUCCUCUUUGUCCCUGCUUAUAUUCUGAGUCUCCCUGCUAUGUCACUUCCUGUCUGGAUCACAACACUUCUUUACUACAUUUCCCAGAAUCCUCCUUGAUUCCUAGUCCUGCCUAACUUGCUU